rnacentral:lncRNA from 1 species
ACGUGCGCUCAGAAGAGUUGAGACACCAAGAAGCUUCAAGUGUAACUAUAGUGGAGCAUCGAGUCAGUGAACCAGAGGCGUCAGGACUCAGGCGUCAGUGUGGUACGGAAGGCAGGGGAAGAAGCUACGCGCCCGCCCAGCCUCUGUGUAUGUGUUUUGCACGAUUACUGGGAGGCGAUACGAUUCUAUUGGUUAGCAGGGAACAGCGAAUCAUAAGCAGCGUUCAUCGUACAUAAGACUCAAGGCGGCGGAGUUACAGCAGCUGCACACACCAGGAUGAGUCAUGCGGGGUGUUGGGUUGAGUCCACCUAAUGUCUGAUUGCUAUCGUGUCCCCUGCUGUGAGACGCUCCACUCCAAGGCUCCCAGCGCUUCUCUCCUUCACGCCUCGAACUCUGUGAAGUCUACUUAGUUUCGUCUUCAUUGCUUCUCUCCCUAAUUCAACAACAGUAGCAGUACGAUAUUGACUCAGCGGACAAGCCAGUAAGACACCUGAUGGGGCGCGGCGUGUGUGGAGAUACAGACCAAACACACGUGCAUGUUGACCCAGGCAAGCUGUGACCACUCAGGCGACGAGGGGGCGUGGCGGUGACCAGUGGCGCAUCACACGUGGCCGCGCACCAGAUUGACGCCGUGACGCUAGACGCUAACUCGCGAAUCAGGUGUCCAGUUGUCACGUCCCCGUCACCACCACGUAACGCGACACCUCAUUGUGAUUUCCUAUUGGAUUAACGCGUUACGUACAGGUUAUUUGUUAUUGUCUAUUAUUAACAUACCACUCAGAUAUCUGUUUUUAUCAUUAUUUGUAUUAUUUCUUCACCGCCACGUAGUAAGACAUCUGAUUAUUAGUUCCUAUCACUUUAUCUCUUUUCGCUAUUUCUGCUGAUUUAACACUACUUCCUUGUAACACUGUGUUAUUUUAUCUAUGUCUUUAUCAUCAUCGCGUAAAAUGACACUUGUUAUUAAUCACUGACAUUACUUUACGGAGUUGAUUUUGUCAUCAUUGCAUUCCUGUUCAACUGUGCACACAUGUCAUUAUUGUUACUGCCUUGUUUCUAUCACCAUUCUACGUCCCUGUCACCAACACACAACGAAGAGCCAAGUGAUUAUUAUUCCCUAUUCACUUAGCUCUCAAUAUCGUAAGUUAUGGAUGAACAUGUAGUGGGUAUAUGUGCAUGUUGAUCUCAGCGUUAUCUAUUUACAGGAUAUAAGGAAUUAAACUACAUACACACUCACCAUCAAAUUGCUUCUUUACAAAUACACGUGUUUGAAAAUCCAGGAAGAGAUAGAAGAUAAUUACAUCAGUGUCAAUAUCCCGACCACUUAACCUAAUGAAAAAGAGAAAAAAAUUAACACCAACCUCUUUUCCUAACACAAAUUAAUUCGCACCAGGUGUAUUCGUUCAUGUAUUGCUCCUUUACUUGUCUAAUAAACACUAGUCGUAACACCUGCGCCAUUAUACCAGCAAAUGUAUAUCUAUUUAUCACUCAUAUCUUUAAAUCAAUUGACUUUUCACCUGCUGGGAAAAAAUAAACACACAGGUAAAUUAGACAAGGUGUUAAGGUAAAUUGUGGUGAAGUAGGAAGAGGAAGAGAAAGUGAAAAAAAAUGUUGAAAAGAUAGAAAACGUGAGGAGGAGGAGGAACAGGUAAAAAAAAUAGUGAAGAAAGAAGAGUAAAGACGGAAUAAAAAGACAUUAGUUUAAAUCCCACGUGAGAGAGAGAGAGAGAGAGAGAGAGAGAGAGAGAGAGAGAGAGAGAGAGAGGGAGAGAAAAAAUCAGGUGUGGUUAAUAUUAGUGUGAAUGUGUCAGGCCUUUCAGGGGGACCAUUAGUUAAUACACGCGGCAGAAAUAUUAAUGGCAAAGCUUCUAGUGGACUCCUGUUGAUCCUCUCCUCUCUCUGCCGUCUCCAUUUUACUGUGAGGGUCGUAUAUGGUUGUAGGCGCACGAUAAUUCAGUAUCAGCCUUACACUGAACACUACAUAAAAGAAACACUGGGAAUAUGCAACAGGUAGAGAGAAGCAAAUUGGCUCCCUUUUAGUUCUUCCUUCCACAUCAUGACGUUAGUGUCGAUCAGCCUGCUUUGUUUGCGUAUUUGAAAUCAGCUGAUGAAAACACAAAGGUGAGUCUUUUUGGUGAAGAGGACACAUGAGCUGCCAGUGACACAGUAGGCAAGGCACUCAUUCGUAGCUGUAUAUCAUCGCUUCUCAAAGGUGAAAUAUAUGUUACAUUGGGUUUGUGGUAGAAGUGGUGAAUGUGAGAGAUAGACUAUGCUUGUUUUGUGAGACUGGUGGGUAUGUAUAGGUGUUAGGAGUGUAUGUGGGUGUACAGAAGGUAUGUCGGAGUUACAGGAAGCACGUGGCAGUGUGGGUGGGUGUAUGUACGUAGGUGCUAGGAAGGUGAUAUGUGCGGGGUUACAGAAUGCUGG